GAUGAACGCUAGCUACAGGCUUAACACAUGCAAGUCGAGGGGAAACGACAUCGAAGGCUUCCUUUUGAUGGGCCUCGACCGGCGCACGGGUGAGUAACACGUAUCCCACCUUCCCACCACUUGGGGAUAACCUUGCGCAUGUACUACUAAUACCCACUGAGAUCCCACGAAAGCAUCCGAUUUUCAUUACUUAUUUAUCUGUGUUGGCUGGGGUUGCGUCUGAUUAGCUUGUUGGCGGAGUGACGGCACAGCAAGGCAACGAUCAGUAGGGGUUCUGAGAGGAAGGUCCCCCACAUUGGAACUGAGACACGGACCAAACUCGUACGGGAGGGAGCAGUGAAGAAGAUUGGGGAAUGAGGGAGAGCCUGAACCAGCCAAGUAGCGGGAAGGAGGACGGCCGUAUGGGUUGUAAACUGCUUGUAUAAGGGAAUAAAGUGGGUCAAGUGUGACGUUUUGAAGGUACCUUAUGAAUAAGGACCGGCUAAUUCCGUG
rnacentral:rRNA from 1 species